AGGGUGGAUGAGGAAGACAUCGUCUCUCACAUCCUGGCUAGGCUCUAAGAAGACUUUGAUCCGGUGGUGUCCGCCAUGUGCUCCCAGGUGGAGCCGGUCACUGUCGCCGAGCUGUUCUCACAGCUGCUCAGCUUCGAAA
rfam:Triticum aestivum genome assembly, contig: Triticum_aestivum_CS42_TGACv1_scaffold_342429_4DL